rnacentral:rRNA from 1 species
AGUGAACGCUGGCGGUAGGCCUAACACAUGCAAGUCGAACGGCAGCACAGUAAGAGCUUGCUCUUACGGGUGGCGAGUGGCGGACGGGUGAGGAAUACAUCGGAAUCUACUUUUUCGUGGGGGAUAACGUAGGGAAACUUACGCUAAUACCUCAUACGACCUACGGGUGAAAGCAGGGGAUCUUCGGACCCUGCGCGAUUGAAUGAGCCGAUGUCGGAUUAGCUAGUUGGCGGGGUAAAGGCCCACCAAGGCAACGAUCCGUAGCUGGUCUGAGAGGAUGAUCAGCCACACUGGAACUGAGACACGGUCCAGACUCCUACGGGAGGCAGCAGUGGGGAAUAUUGGAUAAUGGGCGCAAGCCUGAUCCAGCCAUACCGCGUGGGUGAAGAAGGCCUUCGGGUUGUAAAGCCCUUUUGUUGGGAAAGAAAAGCAGCAGGUUAAUACCCCGCUGUUCUGACGGUACCCAAAGAAUAAGCACCGGCUAACUUCGUG